AAAACAUAUAAGUAAGCGGGGAUAAAAAAAACCACACGGGAUUCUCUAAGUAAUGGCGAAUGAACAGAGGUAAGCUCACGGUAUAAACCCAGGCGCUCGCCUCGGCGUUUACCCAGCUUGUGGCUAGUGAUCGUGGAAAUGGUAUCCUUUGGAAAAAGGUGCAGAGCAGGGUGAUAGUCCCGUCCAUCAUUUCUUCCCGGUCACGUACAGCCCAAGCUUAUCGAGUCGUUCUCCUUGGGAUAGGAGUGCAAAUCGGAUGGUAUACGUCAUCCAAAGCUUAAUAUUAUCUCGAGUCCGAUAGUGAACAAGUACCAUGAGGGAAAGAUAAAAAGUACUUUGAAAAGAGAGUUAUACGCGCCUAAAAUCGUUGCAGUAAAAGCCUUUUGAACCAGCAUGUUUGUCGGAUUUGUACUUCGGGCUUGGAAGGCUGCCCCCUCGGGUAUGUCUGAAGGGCUGGGUGUGCUUAAUCUUACAAUGUCACCGACACGGGUUUCGAUGCUGUGAUGAUCGUGUUGAUUUUGUUCCCCAUGGGAAUAAUGCAGCACAGACCACGGCUGAAGACCUCCGAACUAAUUGCCGCAACUCUUGUCUUACGCUUUUUCUAGGCUACGUAGCAGUACGUCUGCACCGUGUCUAUUAGAAGUAGAGAUUGGGCACGCGCGAUUC
rnacentral:rRNA from 1 species